rnacentral:rRNA from 1 species
GUGGGGAAUCUUGCGCAAUGGACGAAAGUCUGACGCAGCGACGCCGCGUGGGUGACGAAGGCCUUCGGGUUGUAAAGCCCUGUGGGGAGAGACGAACCGGCAUCUGGCGAACACCCGGGUGCUCUGACGGUAUCUCCUUAGCAAGCAUCGGCUAACUCUGUGCCAGCAGCCGCGGUAAGACAGAGGAUGCAAACGUUGCUCGGAAUUACUGGGCGUAAAGCGCGCGCAGGCGGUCCCGUAAGUCGGGUGUGAAAGCCCCGGGCUCAACCCGGGAAGUGCACUCGAUACUGCGAGACUGGAGUACUGGAGAGGAGAGCGGAAUUCUCGGUGUAGAGGUGAAAUUCGUAGAUAUCGGGAGGAACACCAGUGGCGAAGGCGGCUCUCUGGACAGAUACUGACGCUGAGGCGCGAAAGCGUGGGAAGCAAACAGGAUUAGAAACCCCGGUAGUCC